rnacentral:rRNA from 1 species
UACAGAGGUGGCAAGCGUUGUUCGGAAUUACUGGGCGUAAAGGGCGCGUAGGCGGCCUUCUAAGUCGGACGUGAAAGCCCCAGGCUCAACCUCGGAACUGCCUUCGAUACUGCGGGUCUCGAGUCCGGGAGAGGUGAGUGGAAUUCCGUAGUGUAGAGGUGAAAUUCGUAGAUAUUAGGAAGAACACCAGUGGCGAAGGCGGCUCACUGGCCCGGUACUCGACGC